UACGGAGGGUGCAAGCGUUAUCCGGAUUCACUGGGUUUAAAGGGUGCGUAGGUGGCUUUGUAAGUCAGUGGUGAAAUGCCGCAGCUCAACUGCGGAACUGCCAUUGAUACUGCUUAGCUUGAAUCACGUCGAGGUGGAUGGAAUAAUACAUGUAGCGGUGAAAUGCUUAGAUAUGUAUUAGAACACCGAUUGCGAAGGCAGUUCACUAGGCGUGUAUUGACACUGAGGCACGAAAGCGUGGGGAUCAAACAGG
rnacentral:rRNA from 1 species